GAUGAAGAACGCAGCGAAAUGCGAAAAGUAAUGUGAAUUGCAGAAUUCAGUGAAUCAUCGAAUCUUUGAACGCACAUUGCGCCCGCCAGUAUUCUGGCGGGCAUGCCUGUUCGAGCGUCAUUUCAACCAUCAAGCCCCCGGGCUUGUGUUGGGGACCUGCGGCUGCCGCAGGCCCCGAAAACCAGUGGCGGGCUCGCUGUCACCCCGAGCGUAGUAGUUUACACCUCGCCCAGGGCGUGCCGCGGGUUCCCGGCCGUUAAACCCCCCCAUACCACAAGGUUGACCUCGGAUCAGGUAGGAAGACCCGCUGAACUUAAGCAUAUCAAUAAGCGGAGGA
rnacentral:misc_RNA from 1 species